CUGGCAAGUUUAAGCUGUGGCUUCUUCGUACUUGCAGAGCACUGUGACGGGCCUAAGAGGACAAAGAGGCUUAGAAAUUCCUAACCAGCACGGGGUCACAGACUGGAAGUGGUAACUGGGACCUUAUCAGCAACUUUGUGAAAUCCUAAGUUUCCUCAAAUCAUUACUGAAGUGGAUUCAUUUCUUCUUUGAGGAGUCUUCAGUCUGAAGGACAGAGGAGUUGGAAUUGACAGACAAUGAAUAAGCAAGAGUUAGAGGCUGCCUCCCUGAAACUUCCCUCACCUUCAGUUGUUUGCCUGCUGGAAUGAUGUGGUUCUCAUCCCUGAGGGAUUUGGCACUACCUGCAGCCCUGGGAAACAGAGCAAGUUCAGAAACCUGGUUUAUGCUUGUUUUACAAAGGAGAAAACAGGAUUGGAGAA